rnacentral:rRNA from 1 species
UACGUAGGGGGCAAGCGUUGUCCGGAUUUAUUGGGCGUAAAGAGCGUGUAGGCGGCCUGAAAGGUCAGCUGUGAAAACUCGAGGCUCAACCUCGAGACGUCGGUUGAAACCAUCUGGCUAGAGUCCGGAAGAGGAGUGUGGAAUUCCCGGUGUAGCGGUGAAAUGCGCAGAUAUCGGGAAGAACACCCGUGGCGAAGGCGGCUUCCUGGCCUGUAACUGACGCUGAGACGCGAAAGCGUGGGGAGCGAACCGG